rnacentral:rRNA from 1 species
UACAGAGGGUGCAAACGUUGCUCGGAAUCAUUGGGCGUAAAGCGCACGUAGCGGUUCGAUAAGUCGAGUGUGAAAGCCCUGGGCUCAACCCAGGAAGUGCAUUCGAAACUGCCGGACUUGAAUAUGGAAGAGGGUCGCGGAAUUCCGGAUGUAGAGGUGAAAUUCGUAGAUAUUCGGGAGGAACACCAGUGGCGAAGGGCGG